AAAAACGAAGGUAUAGUCAGCAAAAUUAAAGGGAAAAUCGGAAGCACCAACUCAACAAUUUCUGUGAUUCAACCGGGAUUAAGCUGAGCUAGAAAUUGAGAGGAUCAAAUAAGAAAAGAUCCAACAAAGAAAUUGAGUUCAUGGGCCAGAAAAGAAAGCAGAAAGAACAAAAUUUCAGUUCAAUUCUACACACUAAAGAACUUUGUAGCUACUCUCAGGAAGAUGAAUGAAAAUAUUUUCAAGAAAAUCCAACUAAGCAUGUUACGCCAUAGCAAUGGCAAA
rnacentral:misc_RNA from 1 species